ACCUGCGCUGAUGGCUGAUGGCAUCAUGUGCUGCUUCCACAGAUCCAGCUCUACUUUGCAUGCCUGCCAGAGGAAAAGGUUCCUUAUGUUAACAGCCCUGGAGAGAAACACCGCAUUAAACAACUUCUGUACCAGUUGCCACCACAUGAUAAUGAGGUGCGGUACUGCCAGUCUUUAAGCGAAGAGGAGAAAAAGGAGUUGCAGGUAUUCAGUGCUCAAAGGAAGAAAGAAGCUCUUGGAAGAGGGACCAUUAAACUCUUGUCCAGAGCAGCGAUACACGCAGCGUGUGAGCAGUGCGGCUUGCAGAUGAACGGAGGGGAGGUCGCAGUGUUUGCCUCCCGCGCGGGCCCCGGAGUGUGCUGGCAUCCGUCCUGCUUUGUCUGCUUCACGUGUAAUGAGCUACUGGUCGACCUCAUCUAUUUCUAUCAGGAUGGAAAAAUUCACUGUGGCAGGCACCACGCAGAACUGCUCAAACCUCGGUGCUCAGCCUGUGACGAGGUAAAAAAAAAAAAAAAAGUUCAUCCCUUAAUGAUGGAAAAAAAUAAGCCGGUAGCCAAUAUUCCACCGUUCCCAACUAAACAAAACACGAGUGUCUCCUGCUUUUGUUCUGCAUGGAUUUUUUUU